GAAACCUUGCUUGAAUGAUGCAAGAAUUUUCAGUAGCGUGUCUGGUUGGUACUUAAUGCUGAUUUGCGUUGUUUUGAAUAAACCUGAACGUUCUAUUCUUGGUAAUUUAUCCUUUGCACUUAUUCUUAAUUGUUAAGUGAUCAAGAUGAACUGGAAUAAUGUGACUUGCCACAUCCAGCUGUAGGCUGUUGACUGUUAUCUUACUGUAGGACAAAAGUAGUAAGAAGAAGAUUGCAUACACAAAUAGGGAUAAUUUAUCACAUGUCGAAAUAACUAUCUACUAUCACAUAUGAAAGCAUAAUUGCCUCGUACAUAUAUUGUAGCCGCCUUCUGUAAGUGUUCAGUUUUUUUAGUUCCAAAAUGGAUGAAAUUAAUCAUUGGUACAUAACAAUAAGUUGACUGGAUCUGAUCAUGUGAUAUCAAUAAAAUUAUGAACAUGCUUCCAAUUGAGCUUGGUUGAGUUGUAUUUGGUGUAGUCGGAUUAAACUCUUUAUCUUUUCUCCUUUUGGGUUCACAUUAGUUUAUAAUAAAAAGAAUAUUGAGAUAGUUUGUGAAAAAAAAAGUUUAAAUUAAGCCAAUCCACACAGCCAUCUGAUUUACAUAUUUUAGAAUAUUUUUUAAUUGUCUGCUCCCUAAUCUCUGGGAAUUACUUCUUCUGAAAGUGUGUAUUUGGCGGAGGAAAGAAAUAAGAUGAAACCAAAUAGGUAGAGUGAUAAUAGAUGAGAAAUAAAGUGAAAAGUAAAAUUGUUUAGUUAAACAGAAGUAGAGAAGAUACAAGGAGAAAAAUACAGGGAUGACUCGAAAUAGAUGAGAAAUAAAGUGAAAAAUAAAGUUGUUUAGGUAAAGAGAAUUAGAGAAGAGAUGGGGAGAAAGAUAUAGAGAUGAGAUGACUAGAAAUAGAUGAGAAAUAGUAUUACGGAUCCUUCACUAUUUUUAAAUUAGUUCUUUCCUUUCUCUUCUCUACCGAACACCAAGAUUCAUUAUUUCUUUAUCCAUCUUCACCCAUCCUCUCAACCUAUAAGCCACCCUAACUGUUUAGUGCCUAACCAGCUUCCAAAGUAGAUAUUUUAUGACUUUUUAUUUGGUUUUAAUUAAUGGUUUUUUAUAUGUUGAUAAAUUGUAUAUGAUCAUGAUACAGUUGUCAAAUGUUGUACCCGUUAAGGAUGGAUCUGAAGUACCUCAGACGAAGGUUGGAUGUGC
rnacentral:lncRNA from 1 species